rfam:Apaloderma vittatum contig72201, whole genome shotgun sequence.
GGUCGGUUAGCUCAGUGGUUUGAGCGCGGUGCUGACAUCAAUGACAACACCGAGAUCGCAGGUUCGAUUCCCACUCAGUCCC